UACGAAGGGUGCAAGCGUUACUCGGAAUUACUGGGCGUAAAGCGUGCGUAGGGGGUUUUUUAAGUCCGUUGUGAAAGCCCUGGGCUCAACCUGGGAAUGGCAGUGGAUACUGGAAAGCUAGAGUGCGGUAGAGGGUAGUGGAAUUCCCGGUGUAGCAGUGAAAUGCGCAGAUAUCAGGAGGAACACCGGUGGCGAAGGCGGGUCUCUGGGCCGUAACUGACGCUGAGGAGCGAAAGCGUGGGGAGCGAACAGG
rnacentral:rRNA from 1 species